CUACGGGAGGCAGCAGUGAGGAAUAUUGGUCAAUGGGCGGAAGCCUGAACCAGCCAAGUAGCGUGCAGGACGACUGCCCUAUGGGUUGUAAGCUGCUUUUAUGCGGGGAUAAAUGACACUACGUGUAGUGUUUUGCAGGUACCGCAUGAAUAAGGACCGGCUAAUUCCGUGCCAGCAGCCGCGGUAAUACGGAAGGUCCAGGCGUUAUCCGGAUUUAUUGGGUUUAAAGGGAGCGUAGGCCGCCUGGUAAGCGUGUUGUGAAAAAUACCGGCUCAACCGGUAUCCUGCAGCGCGAACUGCCUGGCUUGAGUGUGCGCAACGUUGGCGGAAUUCGUCGUGUAGCGGUGAAAUGCUUAGAUAUGACGAAGAACUCCGAUUGCGAAGGCAGCUGACGGGAGCACAACUGACGCUGAAGCUCGAAAGUGCGGGUAUCGAACAGGAUUAGAAACCCUGGUAGUCC
rnacentral:rRNA from 1 species